AUGAACGCUGACAGAAUGCUUAACACAUGCCAGUCUUUGGCGAAGCUGUGCUUGCACCGCCUAGCCAAGGCGGACGGGUGAGUAACGCGUAAGGAACUUGCCCUGCAGUCAGGGAUAACAGACGGAAACGACUGAUAAGACCUGGUAAAGUCAGGCGGACUCAUGUCCAGCCUGAUGAAAAGAGAUGCUGCAGGAGAGCCUUGCGUCCUAUUAGCUUGUUGGUGGGGUAACGGCCCACCAAGGCGAUGAUAGGUAGCCGGCCUGAGAGGGUGGACGGCCACAAGGGGACUGAGAUACGGCCCUUACUCCUACGGGAGGCAGCAGUGGGGAAUAUUGGACAAUGGGGGCAACCCUGAUCCAGCAAUUCUGUGUGCACGAUGAAGGUUUUCGGAUUGUAAAGUGCUUUCAGCAGGGAAGAAAAAAUGACGGUACCUGCAGAAGAAGCGACGGCUAAAUACGUG
rnacentral:rRNA from 1 species